AGUGAACGCUGGCGGUAGGCCUAACACAUGCAAGUCGAACGGCAGCACAGUAAGAGCUUGCUCUUACGGGUGGCGAGUGGCGGACGGGUGAGGAAUACAUCGGAAUCUACUUUUUCGUGGGGGAUAACGUAGGGAAACUUACGCUAAUACCGCAUACGACCUACGGGUGAAAGCAGGGGAUCUUCGGACCUUGCGCGAUUGAAUGAGCCGAUGUCGGAUUAGCUAGUUGGCGGGGUAAAGGCCCACCAAGGCGACAAUCCGUAGCUGGUCUGAGAGGAUGAUCAGCCACACUGGAACUGAGACACGGUCCAGACUCCUACGGGAGACAGCAGUGGGGAAUAUUGGACAAUGGGCGCAAGCCUGAUCCAGCCAUACCGCGUGGGUGAAGAAGGCCUUCGGGUUGUAAAGCCCUUUUGUUGGGAAAGAAAAGCAGCAGGUUAAUACCCCGCUGUUCUGACGGUACCCAAAGAAUAAGCACCGGCUAACUUCGUG
rnacentral:rRNA from 1 species